AUGGUAGGUGUGAUUGAUCUUGGAGGUGGGUCUGUGCAAAUGGCAUAUGCCAUUUCUCCUGACGCUGCUGCUGCCGCACCACGAGUGCCUCACGGCAAGGAUCCUUAUGUUACAAAAGAGUAUCUCAAGGGAAGAGAUUACAACGUUUAUGUUCACAGCUACUUACGCUACGGCGCCUUAGCUUCUCGUGUAGAGAUCUUCAAGGCUAAGGAAGGACCAUUUAGCUACUGCAUGCUUCGUGGCUUCAGUGCUACAAUGGUGAGGAGUACAAUGCUACCGCGUCAACGGGAGGUGCACAAUAUUGGAAGUGCAGACGUGAUGUAG
rnacentral:rRNA from 1 species